GCUGGCGGCGCGCCUAAUACAUGCAAGUCGAGCGUGAAGCGGGGCUUCGGCCCCGUGGAAAGCGGCGAACGGGUGCGUAACACGUGAGCAACCUGCCCCGGAGACCGGGAUAACCAGGGGAAACCCUGGCUAAUACCGGAUGUCCUCAGCAGAUCGCAUGGUCGGUUGAGGAAAUGGAUUCCGCUCCGGGAUGGGCUCGCGGCCUAUCAGCUUGUUGGUGGGGUAAUGGCCUACCAAGGCGACGACGGGUAGCUGGUCUGAGAGGACGAUCAGCCACACUGGGACUGAGACACGGCCCAGACUCCUACGGGAGGCAGCAGUAGGGAAUCUUGCGCAAUGGGGGAAACCCUGACGCAGCGACGCCGCGUGCGGGAUGAAGGCCUUCGGGUUGUAAACCGCUUUCAGCAGGGACGAAAUUGACGGUACCUGCAGAAGAAGGCCCGGCCAACUACGUGCCA
rnacentral:rRNA from 1 species